rnacentral:rRNA from 1 species
UACGUAGGGUGCAAGCGUUGUCCGGAAUCAUUGGGCGUAAAGCGCGUGUAGGCGGCUCGAUAAGUCUGCUGUGAAAGUCCAGGGCUCAACCCUGGGAUGCCGGUGGAUACUGUCGAGCUCGAGUCCGGAAGAGGCGAGUGGAAUUCCUGGUGUAGCGGUGAAAUGCGUAGAUAUCUGGAGGAACACCGGUGGCGAAGGCGGCAUCCUGGACCGGCAUUGACGCUGAGGCGCGAAAGCUAGGGGAGCAAACGGG